rnacentral:rRNA from 1 species
UGCAAUCGUAGCGGAGGACUUGGUCAUUUAGAGGAAGUAAGCGGAUCAGCAUAUCGAUGAACGGAGGACUUGGUCAUUUAUAGGAAGUACCCCUUAUCAAUAUAUCCCUGGACCUUGGAUGUUGGGGCCCGUAAAAAGGCCCCUACGUCUUCAUCAUAAACUCAGUCUAUCAGAAUGUAAUCUAUGUCCUCGCCCUAAAAAGCGUUGAUAAACUUAUACAACUUUCAACAACGGAUCUCUUGGCUCUCGCAUCGAUGAAGAACGCAGCGAAAUGCGAUAAGUAAUGUGAAUUGCAGAUUUUCAGUGAAUCAUCGAAUCUUUGAACGCACCUUGCGCUCCUUGGUAUUCCGAGGAGCAUGCCUGUUUGAGUGUCAUUAAAUUCUCAACCCGAAACCUUUUGGUUUCGGAGCUUGGACUUGGAGCGUGCUGGCCUUCCGGGGUCGGCUCCUCUCAAAUGCAUCAGCGGAAUAUCUAACCUUUGGGGUUUCCGGAAGUCGGUGUGAUAAUCAUGUUGCGCCGUCAUCUGACCUCACAAGUCCGCUUACAAUGGUCUUCGGACAAACUCAUCAAAUUUGACCUCAAAUCAGGUAGGACUACCCGCUGAACUUAAGCAUAUCAAUAAGGCGGAGGA